GAUGAACGCUGGCGGCGUGCCUAAUACAUGCAAGUCGAGCGAACGGACGAGAAGCUUGCUUCUCUGAUGUUAGCGGCGGACGGGUGAGUAACACGUGGAUAACCUACCUAUAAGACUGGGAUAACUUCGGGAAACCGGAGCUAAUACCGGAUAAUAUUUUGAACCGCAUGGUUCAAAAGUGAAAGACGGUCUUGCUGUCACUUAUAGAUGGAUCCGCGCUGCAUUAGCUAGUUGGUAAGGUAACGGCUUACCAAGGCAACGAUGCAUAGCCGACCUGAGAGGGUGAUAGGCCACACUGGAACUGAGACACGGUCCAGACUCCUACGGGAGGCAGCAGUAGGGAAUCUUCCGCAAUAGGCGAAAGCCUGACGGAGCAACGGCGCGUGAGUGAUGAAGGUCUUCGGAUCGUAAAACUCUGUUAUUAGGGAAGAACAUAUGUGUAAGUAAAUGUGCACAUCUUGACGGUACCUAAUCAGAAAGCCACGGCUAACUACGUG
rnacentral:rRNA from 1 species